GACGAACGCUGGCGGCGUGCUUAACACAUGCAAGUCGAACGGAAAGGCCCUGCUUUUGUGGGGUGCUCUAGUGGCGAACGGGUGAGUAACACGUGAGUAACCUGCCCUUGACUUUGGGAUAACUUCAGGAAACUGGGGCUAAUACCGGAUAGGAGCUCCUGCGGCAUGGUGGGGGUUGGAAAGUUUCGGCGGUUGGGGAUGGACUCGCGGCUUAUCAGCUUGUUGGUGGGGUAGUGGCUUACCAAGGCUUUGACGGGUAGCCGGCCUGAGAGGGUGACCGGCAACAUUGGGACUGGGAUACGGCCCAGACUCGUACGGGAGGCAGCAGUGGGGAAUAUUGCACAAUGGGAGGAAGCCUGAUGCAGCAACGCCGCGUGCGGGAUGACGGACUUCGGGUUGUAAACCGCUUUCGCCUGUGACGAAGCGUGAGUGACGGUAAUGGGUAAAGAAGCACCGGCUAACUACGUG
rnacentral:rRNA from 1 species